AAAUAUUUUUCUUUCUGCCAGUUUUCCUUUAUUGCCCAUUCAUUUGUUUACAUUAUAAACCACUUAUACAUCACCAACCACCAAUCUCUUCCUUUGAGUAGUUUUUUUUUUUUUUUACUUUUGUAGAUCAUUUUCACACUAAUGUAAGCAUCAGCAAGUUAACACAUAAAGCUCAGCAUUUCAAGAAACAAGACAGUUUAGUAACAAUAAUACAAAGGGAUUUUUCAGCUUCCAAAAAAAAUUAAAUUAAGAAUUAGCAUCAUAAAAUUAAUUUAUCCAAAGUAAAAAUACAAAAUAAUAUUAAUGACAUGACCAGAUAUGAAGUCUGUAAAGAAACAAAAAUAUAUGAAAUUAAAAAAAUUUUUAAAUAUGUUUGAAUUCCUUUUUUUUUCCGCAAAACUCUUUAAAAAAAAAGAAAAGGAAAAUUUCUCACUACAAAGACUACAUUACUACUGGAAGGUACUAGCAGGUAGAAUAGGUAAAUACACAGUAGAAAAUGAUUUUAGUGGAUCACAAUGCUUGCAAUGAAAAUUAUUUCGCAAUAAGAUUUUAUACCUCUUUUUCUCGUUUUCUUCUUUUCUACAAACGGUAGAGUAUUGCACAUUACGACAAAGAAUCAAGGUUGUUAGCCUUAAAAAGGAGGAAGGGGGCGGGGCUAAUUCAAGUCUCGCGUGAACAGAAAGGCCACCAGUCAAAUUGAUGCACCUUGGGGGCUUUCAAUCAAGCUACAGGUGAAAACAUUUGUGUCUGUUUAGUGUUAAAAAAUAACAUUCUUCUCUUUUCCUGUGUCCAGUGACUUUCAGAAGUCUUUUUGUUUCUCCCAACUACGUCAGGACAGCAAAUCAAUUCUUCUUUUUUAAUUUAUUCUCUUAUUUAUUUUUUUACAAAACAAAAAGAAAAAAAAAACGGGAGCACAUACUUUUAGAAAACAUAAAAAACUUAUUUUUUAAAAAAAUAAACAGGAGAUCUUCCACAACUCUGGUCAGCAUAGAUGAUUGUUUAUAAAUAUUUAAAAAAAAGUGGGAAAUUAGCUUUAAUUUCUUCUCAGAGCACCUGAUAUUUGAGCUUUCUGCUCUCUCAACCAAUUAAACCAGUGGGACUCCUUCUUCUAAACCAGUAAAGUAGACCCUACUAUCACUACGAACAUUAUUAUAUUAGUUAUAAAGCUUUAGCUCCUUCAUUGACUCUCUUUAAAAAAAAUAAAUUCUUAAAAUAAAAACAUUUAAAAAAAUCAUCUCUCUUGAAUAAUUAAAUUAAUAUAUAUUUGUCCAUCUGAAUAAACUUAGAAGAUGUGUUUCUCUCCUAAUAUAUGUCAAAACUGAGGUAUUGCAAAGGAUUUUUUUAAAUCAGUCUUUUCCAAAAAGAAAACAAAAACAAAAAAAACUGCUGACUGUUGCAAACUGUUUUCAGAUACAAAGUAUAGUGCACAACAAAUACAGGAAAAAUAAUAAAAAAUAAUAAUAGAAAACUGGGUAAAAAGGAGGCAAAGAAAUGUUUGAAAAAAUAAAAACUCUCCCCAGAAUUCAUUUGUUAUUAUUCGUCAGAAAUAAUAUCUCUUCUGCUCAAGUCCAAUUAGUUUUUCUUAAACAGAAACACAAAAAAAAUGUCCGUCCAAAAAAGCAGAAAAAACAACAGUUUACGACUGAAAACAGCUACACACACACACACACACACACACACACACAGUUACGUUUCCGUCACCAUCAUCGUUUCUUUUUCAGCUUUUAAUGGAACCCAAAAAUAUAUAAUGUCCACCUUUAUUUUUAUUUCAUUUAUUUAGCAGGUCCGAUACUUCAAGCUUUGCAGGAGACAAAAAAAAAAAAGAUUUUAAAAAAUAAAAAAAUCUGGUGAUUGCGUCACACAUCUUCAUCUCCACCAUUUUCCCCAAUUUAAAAAAAAAUGUAUAUAUGUAUAUAUAUCAGCAUGUGUAAGGGCUCAGUUGAUCAAUCUCAGAUCUCCAGUAGCUUUAUGGGGGUUUUCCGCUUAUUCACUCUCCAAAAUAAAAAUAAGACAAACAAGUGAGCUCUUUGGUUGCGUCAUGACGUAAAAACGUUUCUGUCAAGAGUUGGAACGAACAAUAAAGUUUUGCGUGCGUGAACAAUAUAGUUUUACGUGUUCGUUUUUUUUUUUUUUCGUUUUUCAACCCCGCUCACAUUAUUGUCUUCUCUUCAGGUCAGAUUCGAGGUCUUCGGCCUGAAAACCCUCCGUCCCAGGGGCGACGUAACUACAGCUGUUUCAAACUGGACAAAGCGGGCGCUGAUGGCGGCGAUGUAGCUCUGCUGGUUGGAGAACGCCACGCGCCCGGCUCCCUUCGGAUAUUUCAGCUCCGGGUCCGUGUCGAUGCCGGCGUAGCAAACGCCUCCGUACAGCCGGUCCAUGAUCAUCG